ACUCCUACGGGAGGCAGCAGUGGGGAAUAUUGCACAAUGGGGGAAACCCUGAUGCAGCCAUGCCGCGUGUGUGAAGAAGGCCUUCGGGUUGUAAAGCACUUUCAGUAGGGAGGAAGGUAGUGUAGUUAACACCUGCAUUAUUUGACGUUACCUACAGAAGAAGCACCGGCUAACUCCGUGCCAGCAGCCGCGGUAAUACGGAGGGUGCGAGCGUUAAUCGGAAUUACUGGGCGUAAAGCGCAUGCAGGCGGCCUGUUAAGUCAGAUGUGAAAGCCCGGGGCUUAACCUCGGAAUUGCAUUUGAAACUGGCAGGCUAGAGUCUUGUAGAGGGGGGUAGAAUUUCAGGUGUAGCGGUGAAAUGCGUAGAGAUCUGAAGGAAUACCAGUGGCGAAGGCGGCCCCCUGGACAAAGACUGACGCUCAGA
rnacentral:rRNA from 1 species